rnacentral:rRNA from 1 species
GACGAACGCUGGCGGCGUGCUUAACACAUGCAAGUCGAGCGGAAAGGCCCUUCGGGGUACUCGAGCGGCGAACGGGUGAGUAACACGUGAGUAACCUGCCCCAGACUUUGGGAUAACCCUCGGAAACGGGGGCUAAUACCGGAUACGACACAGCUUCGCAUGGGGUCUGUGUGGAAAGUUUUUCGGUUUGGGAUGGGCUCGCGGCCUAUCAGCUUGUUGGUGGGGUGAUGGCCUACCAAGGCGACGACGGGUAGCCGGCCUGAGAGGGCGACCGGCCACACUGGGACUGAGACACGGCCCAGACUCCUACGGGAGGCAGCAGUGGGGAAUAUUGCACAAUGGGCGGAAGCCUGAUGCAGCGACGCCGCGUGAGGGAUGACGGCCUUCGGGUUGCAAACCUCUUUCAGCAGGGACGAAGCGUAAGUGACGGUACCUGCAGAAGAAGCGCCGGCCAACUACGUG